UACGUAGGGUGCAAGCGUUGUCCGGAAUUAUUGGGCGUAAAGAGCUCGUAGGCGGUCUGUCGCGUCUGCUGUGAAAACUCAGGGCUUAACCCUGAGCCUGCUUCCGAUACGGGCAGACUAGAGGUAUGCAGGGGAGAACGGAAUUCUGUGUAGCGGUGAAAUGCGCAGAAUAUCAGGAGGAACACCGGUGGCGAAAGGGCGGGAUUCUCCGUUGGGCGA
rnacentral:rRNA from 1 species